GGGUCAGUAGGUUGGUCGUGCCACCGGUACGUACUGGUCUCACUGAUUCCUCCUUCCUGAAGAACCGUAAUGCCAUUAAUUUGGUGUUGCGGGGAAACAGGACUGUUACUUUGAAAAAACUAGAGUGUUUAAAGCAAGCUAACGCUUGAAUACAUUAGCAUGGAAUAAUGAAAUAGGACGAUCGAUCCUAUUUUGUUGGUUUCCAGGAUUGACGUA
rnacentral:rRNA from 1 species